AUGCCUCAUCUACAAUCAGCAGCAGACCCUCCCUCCCAGACUCUCCCACCUCCUGGACAGCAUCCAUUUUACAUUCAUUGUGAAGCUGCAUUCUUAGUGAGCUGUCCAGGAGGUGGGAGGGUCUGGGAGGGAGGGUCUGCUGCUGAUUGGCUGGAAUGU